rnacentral:rRNA from 1 species
UACGUAGGGGGCAAGCGUUGUCCGGAAUCAUUGGGCGUAAAGCGCGUGUAGGCGGUUCGGUAAGUCUGCUGUGAAAGUCCAGGGCUCAACCCUGGGAUGCCGGUGGAUACUGUCGGACUAGAGUACGGAAGAGGCGAGUGGAAUUCCCGGUGUAGCGGUGAAAUGCGCAGAUAUCGGGAGGAACACCAAUUGCGAAGGCAGCUCGCUGGGACGUCACUGACGCUGAGGCGCGAAAGCGUGGGGAGCGAACAGG